AUUGAACGCUGGCGGCAUGCCUUACACAUGCAAGUCGAACGGUAACAGGUUCAGCUGACGAUUGGCGAACGGGUGAGUAAUACAUCGGAACGUGCCCAGAAGUGGGGGAUAGCCCGGCGAAAGCCGGAUUAAUACCGCAUACGACCUAAGGGUGACAGGGGGGGAUCGCAAGACCUCUCGCUAUUGGAGCGGCCGAUGUCAGAUUAGCUAGUUGGUGGGGUAAAAGCUCACCAAGGCGACGAUCUGUAGCUGGUCUGAGAGGACGACCAGCCACACUGAGAUUGAGACUCGGCCCAGACUCAUACGGGAGGCAGCAGUGGGGAAUUGUGGACAAUGGGAGCAAGCCGGAUCCAGCCAUGCCGCGUGCGGGAAGAAGGCCUUCGGGUUGUAAACCGAUUCUGUCAGGGAAGAAAUCCUUUGGGUUAAUAUCGCGGGGGGAUGACGGUAGCUGAAGAAUAAGCACCGGCUAACUACGUG
rnacentral:rRNA from 1 species